AUAUUACUUGUGUGCCCACAUAGCACAUAGCAUAGCCGCUGCACGUGGAGCGGUACUAUCUAAAGACCACCACAGUGGUGUAACGUUCUAUACGUAAGAUUAUGAUUUAUGAUAUAUUUGACUGAUAACUAUUUGUUUAAAAACUAUUUCCGUAUUUAGUGGGAAGUUCCGCCGCGAUUUAGUAAACUAUUGGUAUCGAUGUGCACUUAAGAAGUUCUAAUACCUUUCUUUAAUUCCCACGGGCCUUUAGAUGAAGAUUUUACUGUUGAAGACUAUAGGAAUCUGAGAAUUAAAAAAUAAAAUUAACAUAAUGAUGUUGAAGGUCACAACGGAAAUAUUUGAAAAAAAAAGUUGAUACAACCAGUACUACUUCUGUUCACUGAUUUCAGCAAACAAUUUCUUAUUUAAAUGGACAAUUCAAAAUUCCAUUCAAAUGUUUAAUAAUGGAAUAAAGAAAACCAAUAUUUCUUGUGUGCCCACAUAGCAUAGCAUAGCCGCUGCACGUGGAGCGGUACUAUUUAAAGACCACCACAGUGGUGUAACGUUCUAUACAUCAAUUGCUAGAGGAAGAACAUUCAUUUUCUGACUUACGAGAAAUGCCUUGUGAAAAACAAGGACAUUCGUAGGAUUUACUUAAAAGUUGCAUCCACUCAACAAUUUUAAGAUUCCACACGUUUCGUUGGGUAAAGAGACCGCCCGCUCGAUGUGUGCACUUGGGAAGUUAUUGGCCGCUAUCACUUAUCAAUUAUAGUUUCAUUGUGAACUAUUUCAAAAAUUCGCACUCCAAUAGUUUGUUCCUUCCCCUACAAAAAUUGUAUUAAAGUAUACUAAAAAAAAGAUCUAAUACGUAUACGUUAGAGUGGACGUGGCAGAAAGUUUUUUGGCAAACCCAUAGAAAUUUACAUAUUUUUACGCCCAGCGCUAUGGGAUCAAAAGAGCAAUAUCUAUCAUAAUAGAAUCUUGGUGGAAAAAAAUUGGACAGAGAUGGAAAACAUAUUUGAAACAGAAAAAGGCUGUUUAAAAAAAAAUGGAAGAACAUCCGCGACCAGUUCCGAAGCGAAUGGAAAAAAGUUCCUAUUCCCAAAUCUGGAGACCCUGGAAUUUCGGAGGAGGCUUAAAGCCAUUACACUUCUUGGCCUCAUUUCACCAGUUUGCUUUUUUUAAAAGACCAAAUGAAACCGCGCAAAUUGGUUGGAAGUUUUGACGCAUCAUCACAAUUUACCUUCGAGGCAGCUUCACCGGGAUUUUCAUCACAAGUGUCUCUAGAUGAGACCAUCUGUGAGGAAAUUCGAGAGCUUUGUGAUGAUCAACCAAUUUGUCCACCAAAAAAAAAAUCAAAAGAAGGUGACUGCAGCGGAGGAACAAAAGUUGCUGUUGCUCGAAAAAAAAACAAAUGGCAAAAAAAAGAAAGACGACGACGAGGCAUUUUUUGAUUAUUAUUAUUAUGCCGAAUGGAAAUUCAAAAAACAAUUUUUAAUGUUUCUUUUGACGAUAUUUCCGAUACCGACAACUAUAAUACACAAUAAAUAUAUUAAAAGCUUA